GGCCGUGUGGCUCAAUGGCAGAGUGUCUGACUACGAAUCAGAAGGUUGCAGGUUCGACCCCUGUCUCGGUCA
rnacentral:tRNA from 1 species